rnacentral:misc_RNA from 1 species
GGCUCCCUUAACACUACCAAGCAAAUCAUUGAGGACUUAAAGAACAUUGACAUAGUCUUUCACAUUGGUGAUAUUGUUUACGCCAAUGGAUAUCUUUCUCAGUGGGAUCAAUUUACUUCUCAAGUAGAGCCAAUUACUUCAAGAGUACCAUACAUGAUUGCUAGCGGCAACCAUGAACGCGAUUGGCCUGAUAGUGGGUCAUUUUAUGGUAAAAAGGAUUCAGGUGGAGAGUGUGGUGUCUUGGCUCAGACAAUGUUCUAUUUUCCUGCCGAAAAUAGGGAUAAGUUCUGGUACUCUACUGAUUAUGGCAUGUUCAGAUUCUGUAUUGCUGAUACUGAACAUGAUUGGAGAGAGGGCACCGAACAAUAUAAGUUCCUUGAACACUGCUUCGCAUCUGUAGAUAGACAGAAACAGCCAUGGCUAAUCUUCCUUGCACAUAGGGUACUUGGUUACUCUUCUGGAGAUUUUUACGCUGAUGAAGGAUCAUUUGGAGAACCAAUGGGGAGGGACAGCCUUCAAAAGCUUUGGCAGAAGUAUAAAGUUGAUAUCGCCAUAUAUGGUCAUGUCCACAAUUACGAAAGAACAUGUCCCAUUUACCAGAAU